AAGUCGUAACAAGGUCUCCGUUGGUGAACCAGCGGAGGGAUCAUUACUGAGUACUACACUCUCUACCCUUUGUGAACUAUUAUACCUGUUGCUUCGGCGGCGCCGCAAGGGUGCCCGCCGGUCUCAUCAGAAUCUCUGUUUUCGAACCCGACGAUACUUCUGAGUGUUCUUAGCGAACUGUCAAAACUUUUAACAACGGAUCUCUUGGCUCCAGCAUCGAUGAAGAACGCAGCGAAACGCGAUAUGUAAUGUGAAUUGCAGAAUUCAGUGAAUCAUCGAAUCUUUGAACGCACAUGGCGCCUUCCAGUAUCCUGGGAGGCAUGCCUGUCCGAGCGUCGUUUCAACCCUCGAGCCCCUGUGGCCCGGCGUUGGGGAUCUGCCACGGCAGGCCCCUAAAACCAGUGGCGGACCCGAAGGGCCCUCUCCUUUGCGCAGUAGCAUUCGCCUCGCAUCGGGAGUCCUCGGCGUCCUGCCUCUAAACCCCCCACAAGCCGCUUCGGCGGCACCAAGGUUGACCUCGGAUCAGGUAGGAAUACCCGCUGAACUUAA
rnacentral:rRNA from 1 species